UUUAACCGACUUCCAAAAAAGGAGGAGGUUCUCAAUUCGACUGUAUUUUUUUUUUUUUUUCUUUUUUUUUUUAUGUAUAAUACAAUUUACUAUGCAAAAUUGAAAUCUAAGCUGGCCGCCGCUACCAAAUGUCUGAUAACAAUUUUUUAUCAAUCCCACCAAUAUGGGUAUCAAAUAAAAGGGCUUGACAAGAAGAAUACAGUGCACUAUACAACCUCAAUAUUUAAGAUGGGCCUUGCAAUAAUGAAGCACUAAAUGAAUUAAACAGAAUGCGAAAUAAAAACUAAAAACUAGAAAAUAAAAAUAGGUAAAAAAACUUUUUAAGUUAAACGGUUUUAUGUUAAACAUACAUUGCA
rnacentral:misc_RNA from 1 species